rnacentral:rRNA from 1 species
UACGAAGGGGGCUAGCGUUGCUCGGAAUCACUGGGCGUAAAGGGUGCGUAGGCGGGUCUUUUAAGUCAGGGGUGAAAUCCUGGAGCUCAACUCCAGAACUGCCUUUGAUACUGAAGAUCUUGAGUUCGGGAGAGGUAAGUGGAACUGCGAGUGUAGAGGUGAAAUUCGUAGAUAUUCGCAAGAACACCAGUGGCGAAGGCGGCUCACUGGCCCGAUACUGACGCUGAGGCACGAAAGCGUGGGGAGCAAACAGGG